rnacentral:rRNA from 1 species
GAUGAACGCUGGCGGCGUGCCUAAUACAUGCAAGUCGAGCGAACGGACGAGAAGCUUGCUUCUCUGAUGUUAGCGGCGGACGGGUGAGUAACACGUGGAUAACCUACCUAUAAGACUGGGAUAACUUCGGGAAACCGGAGCUAAUACCGGAUAAUAUUUUGAACCGCAUGGUUCAAAAGUGAAAGACGGUCUUGCUGUCACUUAUAGAUGGAUCCGCGCUGCAUUAGCUAGUUGGUAAGGUAACGGCUUACCAAGGCAACGAUGCAUAGCCGACCUGAGAGGGUGAUCGGCCACACUGGAACUGGGCCACGCUCCAGACUCCUACGGGAGGCAGCAGUCGGGAAUCUUCCGCAAUGGGCGAAAGCAUUACGGAGCAACGCCGCGUGAGUGAUGAAGGUCUUCGGAUCGGAAAACUCUGUUAUUAGGGAAGAACAUAUGUGUAAGUAACUGUGCACAUCUUGACGGUACCUAAUCAGAAAGCCACGGCUAACUACGUG